CAAUGCCAGGGCGUAGUGGGGGGAGAGAAAGAAGGGAUGUGGAUUGCUCCUGCAGCAGCCAGAGGUGCAGCAUCUCCCAGGUGGAAUCCAGGUACCAGCCUGACACCAGCACUGGAAGAGGAAGGCGCUUGGAGACUUGCUCCAAAUUGGAAACAUGCAGGGAGCAGCAACAUUUCUUCUCCCCCAGCUGCCAGAGGAGGAUGUUUUUCCAAUCAGGACUUGGACUUUCGUUCACCCCAUCUCUGCCCCGCACAACCCCAUCCCAAAAGCAGGGAGGGGAGAGGACUAAUGAGCUGCUGAUUGCCGGAGAGCAGAUCGCAGAGGCUCCACUCCGUCUGCCCAGUGUUCAGACUACCUGUUCAGGACUACGAGAUUGUACAGUAGUCUGCACAUUGGUUAGGCUGUGCUGGGAUACACCACACCCUGCCAGUGCUGCACGGGGACGGCAACACCUGCACGGCAGAGGGACACGCUUGGGGAGGGUGGGCUCUGGGGAUGGCUGCAUGCAGAGGUCACUCCUAUCUCAGCCUGGGAGGGUCUAACCCUUGGGAGCCAUGCCUGAUCAUCACUUCUACCUGCCUGCUCACAACCCUCUCAUUUCUGCUCUGUCUCUCUCAUUCCAUUCUUAUUUCUUUCAGUUUCAUGUGCUUGUCCCACGGUAGCUGUGUUCAGGAUGGCUCGUGUUUCACAUGCUAAGCUUUGCAAAUGCAGAAAUAAAUACACAGGCCUGUCAGAGUCACAA